UACGUAGGGGGCAAGCGUUGUCCGGAAUCAUUGGGCGUAAAGCGCGCGUAGGCGGCCCGGUAAGUCCGUUGUGAAAGUCAAAGGCUCAACCUUUGAACGCCGAUGGAUACUGCCGGGCUAGAGUCCGGAAGAGGCGAGUGGAAUUCCUGGUGUAGCGGUGGAAUGCGCAGAUAUCAGGAGGAACACCAAUAGCGAAGGCAGCUCGCUGGGACGGUACUGACACUGAGGCGCGAAAGCGUGGGGAGCGAACAGG
rnacentral:rRNA from 1 species